rnacentral:tmRNA from 1 species
AAGGUGUAAAGAUCGUACUUUUGCCCGGCAUUGUACCACCGUCAUCGGGCUAAACUUAUAGUUGCCAACGACAACUAUGCGGAAGCUCGUCUCGCUGCUUAAUGCAGUGCGAACGCUUCAAAUCAAGCCCUAGAGGUUCGCACUUCUAGGCGGGGUUCGGAGGUACCUGGCAACAGAAACCUCCACC